AGAGUUUGAUCCUGGCUCAGGACGAACGCUGGCGGCGUGCCUAAUACAUGCAAGUAGAACGCUGAAGAGAGGAGCUUGCUCUUCUUGGAUGAGUUGCGAACGGGUGAGUAACGCGUAGGUAACCUGCCUUGUAGCGGGGGAUAACUAUUGGAAACGAUAGCUAAUACCGCAUAACAAUGGAUGACCCAUGUCAUUUAUUUGAAAGGGGCAAAUGCUCCACUACAAGAUGGACCUGCGUUGUAUUAGCUAGUAGGUGAGGUAACGGCUCACCUAGGCGACGAUACAUAGCCGACCUGAGAGGGCGAUCGGCCACACUGGGACUGAGACACGGCCCAGACUCCUACGGGAGGCAGCAGUAGGGAAUCUUCGGCAAUGGGGGCAACCCUGACCGAGCAACGCCGCGUGAGUGAAGAAGGUUUUCGGAUCGUAAAGCUCUGUUGUAAGUCAAGAACGAGUGUGAGAGUGGAAAGUUCACACUGUGACGGUAGCUUACCAGAAAGGGACGGCUAACUACGUGCCAGCAGCCGCGGUAAUACGUAGGUCCCGAGCGUUGUCCGGAUUUAUUGGGCGUAAAGCGAGCGCAGGCGGUUUGAUAAGUCUGAAGUUAAAGGCUGUGGCUCAACCAUAGUUCGCUUUGGAAACUGUCAAACUUGAGUGCAGAAGGGGAGAGUGGAAUUCCAUGUGUAGCGGUGAAAUGCGUAGAUAUAUGGAGGAACACCGGUGGCGAAAGCGGCUCUCUGGUCUGUAACUGACGCUGAGGCUCGAAAGCGUGGGGAGCGAACAGGAUUAGAUACCCUGGUAGUCCACGCCGUAAACGAUGAGUGCUAGGUGUUGGAUCCUUUCCGGGACUCAGUGCCGCAGCUAACGCAUUAAGCACUCCGCCUGGGGAGUACGACCGCAAGGUUGAAACUCAAAGGAAUUGACGGGGGCCCGCACAAGCGGUGGAGUAUGUGGUUUAAUUCGAAGCAACGCGAAGAACCUUACCAGGUCUUGACAUCCCGAUGCUAUUUCUAGAGAUAGAAAGUUACUUCGGUACAUCGGUGACAGGUGGUGCAUGGUUGUCGUCAGCUCGUGUCGUGAGAUGUUGGGUUAAGUCCCGCAACGAGCGCAACCCCUAUUGUUAGUUGCCAUCAUUCAGUUGGGCACUCUAGCGAGACUGCCGGUAAUAAACCGGAGGAAGGUGGGGAUGACGUCAAAUCAUCAUGCCCCUUAUGACCUGGGCUACACACGUGCUACAAUGGUUGGUACAACGAGUUGCGAGUCGGUGACGGCAAGCUAAUCUCUUAAAGCCAAUCUCAGUUCGGAUUGUAGGCUGCAACUCGCCUACAUGAAGUCGGAAUCGCUAGUAAUCGCGGAUCAGCACGCCGCGGUGAAUACGUUCCCGGGCCUUGUACACACCGCCCGUCACACCACGAGAGUUUGUAACACCCGAAGUCGGUGAGGUAACCUUUUGGAGCCAGCCGCCUAAGGUGGGAUAGAUGAUUGGGGUGAAGUCGUAACAAGGUA
rnacentral:rRNA from 1 species